rnacentral:rRNA from 1 species
GGAUGCGAUCGUACCAGCACUAAAGCACCGGAUCCUACCAGAACUCUGAAGUUAAGCGUGCUUGGGCGAGAGUAGUACUAGGAUGGUGACCUCCUGGGAAGUCCUCGUGUUGCAUUCC